GAUGAACGCUGGCGGCGUGCCUAAUACAUGCAAGUCGAGCGAAUGGAUUAAGAGCUUGCUCUUAUGAAGUUAGCGGCGGACGGGUGAGUAACACGUGGGUAACCUGCCCAUAAGACUGGGAUAACUCCGGGAAACCGGGGCUAAUACCGGAUAACAUUUUGAACCGCAUGGUUCGAAAUUGAAAGGCGGCUUCGGCUGUCACUUUUGGAUGGACCCGCGUCGCAUUAGCUAGUUGGUGAGGUAACGGCUCACCAAGGCAACGAUGCGUAGCCGACCUGGGAGGGUGAUCGGCCACACGGGGACUGCGACACGGCCCAGACUCCUACGGGAGGCAGCAGUAGGGAAUCUUCCGCAAUGGACGAAAGUCUGACGGAGCAACGCCGCGUGAGUGAUGAAGGCUUUCGGGUCGUAAAACUCUGUUGUUAGGGAAGAACAAGUGCUAGUUGAAUAAGCUGGCGCCUUGACGGUACCUAACCAGAAAGCCACGGCUAACUACGUGCCAGCCGCCGCAGUAA
rnacentral:rRNA from 1 species